ACUUGAGAUUGAAAAAAACAAAAUAAGAAAACAAACUCAACUGCUCCUCAGUGACACGAGCAUUAUGUAAUUCCUUGUGUGUUAUGUAUUUUGUAAUUAUGGCCAUGUGUACUCAGUGACCCGUGAGCAGCUGGAUGAUGUUCAAGAAAAGUUUAGGCAAUGCUCAGGUUUCCUGGUUUUCUUUCUUUUUUUAAUCUGUACCAGCGAUAACAGAAACAGUGAAGGGUGAAAUGUCUCGUGUUCAGACCUGCAACACAGACACAUGGUAACUGGUGCUUUAAGUACUGUGCCACCGGAUAAAUCACUGGACUCUUCCACUCUACAGGUAAACUUAAACAUUUAUCACAUGGCUAACUAACCAUAGACAAAUCUUCAAUGUACUCUGCACACAUAAUAUUCACAAUAUUCUGUUUUGCUGUUGUCCUCAUCCCCAAUACACCUCUAAAAUAUAAAUACAAUACAUAGAAAUAAACACCAUGACUUGAAAUCUCCCCACUUCCUAUCCUGUCACCUGGUCUCUCCUGGAACCUUUAUGAAGGUGCUGUGCCCCAGGGGGAAUCCUUUGGCUGCGCACCGCGGAGUACACACCUGACUGGACAGGGGGAGCGAGUGCGCGCUCCCACACCUGCCCGACGGCACGCGAUCAACCGCGGUCACGAGGUUCCCUGAAAGCUCAUACAUGGUCAAUAAAGUUAAAUAUCUGUAAAGAUGUGCAAAUAAGCAAUGUACAAAAUGUAUUGUGCAAACCACGGUAAAUAAAGUGCUAUCGUGACUCAA